rnacentral:rRNA from 1 species
AGUAGUCACGUAGUUAGAUCCAUGGCUANAGACACGCUGGCGGCAUGCCUAACACAUGCAAGUCGAACGAGACCUUCGGGUCUAGUGGCGCACGGGUGCGUAACACGUGGGAAUUUGCCUCGGGGUAUGGAAUAACUCAGGGAAACUUGAGCUAAUACCAUAUAAUGUCUUCGGACCAAAGAUUUAUCGCCCUGAGAUAAGCCCGCGUAGGAUUAGCUAGUUGGUGAGGUAAAGGCUCACCAAGGCGACGAUCGGUAGCUGGUCUGAGAGGAUGAUCAGCCACACUGGGACUGAGACACGGCCCAGACUCCUACGGGAGGCAGCAGUGGGGAAUAUUGGACAAUGGGCGCAAGCCUGAUCCAGCCAUGCCGCGUGAGUGAUGAAGGCCCUAGGGUUGUAAAGCUCUUUCAGUGGGGAAGAUAAUGACGGUACCCACAGAAGAAGCCCCGGCUAACUCCGUG